CGUAACGUCCCAUGCGAGCUGUAGGAGUGCGGCGGGACGUGGAAAUCGAAUCUGUGCUCUGUGAGAGAUCCUAGGAGAGGAAACUGGGAGCCCAGGAGAACUAAAAUUCCCAAUUAAAAGUGAAUUUAAAUCUGAGCUGUUCUUAGACCCAGAAUUUCUUGCCUGAAGGAGGAGUCAGGUCCCCACAAGGAAAGACCCUGCAACUGUAUAAAAAAAGAAUCUAAAAAGAUCAUGACUCCUUCAGUCCUUUCCCAAAGAGACCUAUGGAAAUUUCCUCAGGAGCACUCACAACAGAAUAGACAUUAAACAGCUGCAUAAACAAAUGACUCAGCCAGUUGAUGUCAGUCAGCCUGUGUCAACAGCCACCCCAAUGCUGGCACAAAGGGCACUAGAACAGAAUAGCCUGAUGGCAGAGAUGAAGUGUGCAUGGCUCCAGCAGCACGGACUCCUCUCAUUAAGGCUGAUCUAGCUACUGUUGCUGCCCCAUGUCUAAUUUGCCAGCAACGGAGACCAAAGUUGAGCCCCGGAAUCAGCACCAUUCCUCAAAGAGACCAGCUAGUCACUUGGUGGAAGAGGGACCAAGCAAAAUCCCAGAAGAGUUGAUCUCAAAGCUUAUUUCAUGAAGAAAAUUGACCUGAGUGACACAAAGGGUUGGACUGUAGUAGAUGUCACGUUUUGCUGCCUAGAUCUCCAUCCAGGGAUGAACUCUUAUUUCCUCAGCUUCUUUGUUUCCUCAGCUUCUGGGAGGGUUGGCAGCUGACAUUCUCACCUGAGUCCCUUUCUAGGACUUGCCCUUGCCUGAAGAGAGCUGUGUUGCCCAACAUGAUGCCUCCUCCAAGGUACAAUCCACACCCACUGACUAAUAAACAGGGGUUACAAAGGCAUGCCUGCUUGCCCCAAUUUGGGAAAACUUUACCAGGCCAACCCAGCCUCAAGGCUCUCUGCAGGAACAGGGACCCUGAAAGCUGCAUCUAUGAAGUUAUUACAAGAUAUUGGCUACUGUGGUGCAUGGAACUUCUAGGCCAGGAUGAUUCUUACACCUGCCUGAUGUGGAUCUUCUUGCUUCACACCUGAAACAUCAUUUGGGAAGCCUGGGAAGCGGUGUGGCUGCUGCAUGGCUGCUCCAAGAACUACUCCUGUGGGAGAGGAGCUCCCAACAGUGUCUUACCAUCAAGCUUUGAUUUCUACCUUACAUACCUCUGAAUAAACUGUUGCCAAUGAGGCUGAUGGAAGUCUUGUGAGUUUGAAUGCCAGGUUGAACCUAAGAGGAUUCCCUGGUGAGCAUUGCAAGAUGGUAUAAUCAAUGUUAUUAAUUUGUGGGGAGUUUAAUAAAAGUAUUGUUUAUAUUGGUGUGGGAAGGGUAUAAAGAAAUUACAAGGUAUGGUGCAGUGUCCCAAGAAUAGUAACAUGGGGCGCUGAAAAGAUAGGGAAAGGAAAAGAAUGAGUGACCAGAACCUGGUGAUGGAGCCACAGGGGAGGGCUGCCUGGCUGGAGCUGUGACUUACCAUUGAAGGACUCAGGCAGUUCUUUUUUUUCUUCAGACAGGGGCUUGCUCCUUCAUGUAGGCUGUCGUGCAGUGGUGUGAUCAUGACUGACUGCAUCCUCAGCACACAGCAGCAUACCGGGCUAAUUUUUGUAUUUUUAUAGACAGGUUCUCUCUCACCAGGUUGCCCAGUCUGAUCUCAAAAUCCUGGGCUCAAGCAAUCUUCCUGCCAUGGCCUCCCAAAGUGCUGGGAUUAUAGGCAUAAGCCACUGCACCCAGCCCUCAGGCAGUUUUUAUUAAUUCUGCAGGAAGGGAGCUGGGAGAAUAAAAAUCCUGACCUCAUUUUCUUUCUUUCCUUUGUUCUCUUGCUUGAGCUUCCCAUGGAUGAACUCAAAGAAUUCAGAAAUUGAAUGAUAUAAAUAACAAAGUUAAAUUAAUAGACAUGUAUUGAACUUAGUUUUUAGAGUAUGUAUAAUUUUCCCAAUUUUCUGUGAAAUUAUUGCAAAAUUUGACCGCAAACUAUAAGGCUACAGUUUAAAAAUAUAAUAAAUUCCUAACUGUAAAAAUUUUCUAGGUUAAAUUCUUUGAUCACAAAGCAGGCAAGAAAUGAUUGGUGGAACAAACUAAAAUACUAGCUCCAUGAAUGAAAAGACCUACAUGGAUAUGAGAGUAAAUAAGAAGGAGUUAGCAGCGAUGGGACUUUGUGAUUGACUGGAUAUAGACAAUGAGGAAUAUAGCGAAGGAAAAAUGAUUUCCUGAUUUCUGGCAUGGGCAGCUGAGUAGAUGGUUAUGCUACAAACUAAGAAAGGAGAGAAGGAUAGGAAGAGACGGGCCUGGAAGAGUAUGGAGUUUGAGAUGAGAAGAGAAAAUGGAAACUCUAAGGAGCACAGAAAAUUAAGGCCCAAGUGAAGAAAGAUGAGCUUGCAAGGAAGACUGGGUGAUGACAAGUGGUGUAGGAGAGAAUCCGGGUACUCUGUUUUGCUGAAAUGAGAAAGACGGACAUACAGAUGCAUAUAAAGUCAUAUAGAGGCAGAUAUAUUUAUACUUGAGGAAGUCUGGACAUUGAGUAAGUUAGUGCUGAUAACUUCUAGUUUCUUAGUUAAGAAAGAGAUAAGGUUAUCUAUACGGAGUAAGGAGGAACCUGGUGGUGCCAUUGCUACUACGGUGUAAUACGUCACUACUAUUACUAUUAAUCAUGGUGUAAUACCUAAAACGUAGUGGCUUGAAAUAACAAUAAUUAUCUUUUAUCUCUCACAGUUUCUCUGGGUCAGAAAUUUGAGGAUAAGGUGGUGAAUGAUUCUGGCUCAAGGUCUCCCAUAUUGUUGUGAUCAGUGGCUGGAGCCAGAACAGCAGAGGGCUAAGAGAAUCUAGGGAUUGGUCAGAUGUCGCUUUCAUUUUAUCUGGCUUUGAGACCUCUCCAUGUGAGCUAAUUUAGGCUUCCUCAUAGCGUGGUAACCUCCAGGUAUGUGAACUGUGUAGGGGUUGACGCUUCCAAAAACAAGUAUUCUAGCAGGCAAGGUUCAUCUUUUAUGCUCUAGGCAUGGAAAUUACAUAGCGUCACUUUCCCUAAAAUAAGAAAGGAUAUAGCAUGUUUGGACACUAUGAACCAGUAUCACCUAAUUGACAUUAACAGACCAUCCUAUCCAGCAAUGGCAGAAUACAUACUUUUUCAAGUGUAGAUGGAACAUUCACCAAGGCAGAUCAUAUUCUGGGCCAUGUACAAAAAAAACUGAGAAAUUUAAAAGGAUUAAAAUUACAGAAAGCAUGCUCUCUGACCACAGUGGAAUUAAGCUAGAAAUAGAAAACAAAAAAUUAUAUAGAAAAUCCCCAAAUAUUUGGAAAUUUUUUAUUUUUUAUUUUUUUAAAUUGUAUUUUUUAACCAAUGAAAAAUAAUUGAAUUAUUUGUGGAGUACAUAGUGUUGUUUCAAUACAUAUAAUGUAUAGUGAUCAGAUCAUGGUAAUUAGCAUAUCUGUCAUUCCAGACAUUUAUCAUUUUUUGUGUAGGGAACCUUCAAUAUUAUCUUCUAGCUAUUUAAAACUACAUAAUAUAUUAUGGUUAAUUACAGUUUUUCUAUCGUGGUAUAGAAAUUAGAUAAUAGACUCUUUUAAAGUCCAUGGGACACAAUGAAAAAUAAUUAGAAAAAUUAGAACAUACUUUGAACUGAUUGAAAAUUAAAACACAACAUAUCAAAAUUUGUGAGAUGCAGCUAAAGCAGUGCCUACUGAAAAAUGUAUGGGAUUAGAUACUUAAAAAGUAGAUGUUAAACCAAUGUCCUAAGCUUCUGCCUCAAGAAACUUAAGAAAAAAAGCAAGCAAAG